UGCCAGACUCCUACGGGAGGCAGCAGUGGGGAAUAUUGCACAAUGGGGGAAACCCUGAUGCAGCGACGCCGCGUGAGUGAAGAAGUAUUUCGGUACGUAAAGCUCUAUCAGCAGGGAAGAAAAAAAGUCCUUUGGACUUUGGACGGUACCUGACCAAGAAGCCCCGGCUAACUACGUGCCAGCAGCCGCGGUAAUACGUAGGGGGCAAGCGUUAUCCGGAUUUACUGGGUGUAAAGGGAGCGUAGACGGCAGCACAAGUCUGAAGUGAAAUGCCGGGGCUUAACCCCGGAACUGCUUUGGAAACUGUGCAGCUAGAGUGCAGGAGAGGUAAGUGGAAUUCCUAGUGUAGCGGUGAAAUGCGUAGAUAUUAGGAGGAACACCAGUGGCGAAGGCGGCUUACUGGACUGUAACUGACGUUGAGGCUCGAAAGCGUGGGGAGCAAACAGGAUUAGAUACCCUUGUAA
rnacentral:rRNA from 1 species